rnacentral:rRNA from 1 species
GACGUAGGGCGCGAGCGUUGUCCGGAUUUAUUGGGCGUAAAGAGCUCGUAGGCGGCUUGUCGCGUCGUCCGUGAAAACCUGCAGCUCAACUGCAGGCUUGCGGUCGAUACGGGCAUGACUGGAGUUCGGCAGGGGAGACUGGAAUUCCUGGUGUAGCGGUGAAAUGCGCAGAUAUCAGGAAGAACACCCGUGGCGAAGGCGGCUCUCUGGGACGGUACUGACGCUGAGACGCGAAAGCGUGGGGAGCGAACAGG